rnacentral:rRNA from 1 species
AUGAACGCUAGCGGCAGGCCUAACACAUGCAAGUCGAGGGAGAAGCCUUUCGGGGCAGAAACCGGCGCACGGGUGCGUAACGCGUAUGCAACCUACCUUUCACAGGGGGAUAGCCCGAAGAAAUUUGGAUUAAUACCCCAUAAUAUUGUUGGAUGGCAUCAUCUGAUAAUUAAAACUGCGGUGGUGAAAGAUGGGCAUGCGUCCUAUUAGCUAGUUGGAGUGGUAACGGCACCCCAAGGCUACGAUAGGUAGGGGUCCUGAGAGGGAGAUCCCCCACACUGGUACUGAGACAGGGACCAGACUCCUACGGGAGGCAGCAGUGAGGAAUAUUGGUCAAUGGUCGGAAGACUGAACCAGCCAUGCCGCGUGCAGGAAGAAUGCCUUAUGGGUUGUAAACUGCUUUUAUAUGGGAAGAAUAAGGUGUACGUGUACAUUGAUGACGGUACCAUAUGAAUAAGCAUCGGCUAACUCCGUG